GCGCUUUCGGGUGUCGCUGAUGGAUGGACCCGCGGUGCAUUAGCUAGUUGGUGAGGUAACGGCUCACCAAGGCCACGAUGCAUAGCCGACCUGAGAGGGUGAUCGGCCACAUUGGGACUGAGACACGGCCCAAACUCCUACGGGAGGCAGCAGUAGGGAAUCUUCGGCAAUGGACGAAAGUCUGACCGAGCAACGCCGCGUGAGUGAAGAAGGUUUUCGGAUCGUAAAACUCUGUUGUUAGAGAAGAACAAGGAUGAGAGUAACUGUUCAUCCCUUGACGGUAUCUAACCAGAAAGCCACGGCUAACUACGUGCCAGCAGCCGCGGUAAUACGUAGGUGGCAAGCGUUGUCCGGAUUUAUUGGGCGUAAAGCGAGCGCAGGCGGUUUCUUAAGUCUGAUGUGAAAGCCCCCGGCUCAACCGGGGAGGGUCAUUGGAAACUGGGAGACUUGAGUGCAGAAGAGGAGAGUGGAAUUCCAUGUGUAGCGGUGAAAUGCGUAGAUAUAUGGAGGAACACCAGUGGCGAAGGCGGCUCUCUGGUCUGUAACUGACGCUGAGGCUCGAAAGCGUGGGGAGCAAACAGGAUUAGAUACCCUGGUAGUCCACGCCGUAAACGAUGAGUGCUAAGUGUUGGAGGGUUUCCGCCCUUCAGUGCUGCAGCUAACGCAUUAAGCACUCCGCCUGGGGAGUACGACCGCAAGGUUGAAACUCAAAGGAAUUGACGGGGGCCCGCACAAGCGGUGGAGCAUGUGGUUUAAUUCGAAGCAACGCGAAGAACCUUACCAGGUCUUGACAUCCUUUGACCACUCUAGAGAUAGAGCUUCCCCUUCGGGGGCAAAGUGACAGGUGGUGCAUGGUUGUCGUCAGCUCGUGUCGUGAGAUGUUGGGUUAAGUCCCGCAACGAGCGCAACCCUUAUUGUUAGUUGCCAUCAUUCAGUUGGGCACUCUAGCAAGACUGCCGGUGACAAACCGGAGGAAGGUGGGGAUGACGUCAAAUCAUCAUGCCCCUUAUGACCUGGGCUACACACGUGCU
rnacentral:rRNA from 1 species